UCAGAACAACAGGGAUGCCUCAGUAACGGCGAGUGAAGCGGCAACAGCUCAAAUUUGAAAUCUGGCCUCACGGCCCGAGUUGUAAUUUGUAGAGGAUGUUUUGGGUACCGCCACGGUUUAAAUUUCUUGGAACAGAAUGUCAAAGAGGGUGAGAAUCCCGUCUUGGACCGCGGUAGGGCCUGUGUAAAACUCCUUCGACGAGUCGACUUGUUUGGGAAUGCAGGUCAAAAUGGGUGGUAAAUUUCAUCUAAAGCUAAAUAUUGGCCAGAGACCGAUAGCGCACAAGUAGAGUGAUCGAAAGAUGAAAAGCACUUUGAAAAGAGAGUUAAACAGUAUGUGAAAUUGUUGAAAGGGAAGCGCUGGCAACCAGACUCGUGCGCGGGGUUCCCCUCAGCUUCGGCUGGGGCUACUUCCCCGUGUCCGGGCCAUCAUCAGUUUUGGGGGCCGGUCAAAGGUUCCAGGAAUGUAUCCACGCCUUCGGGGGUGGACUUAUAGCCUGGGGCGUCAUGCGGCCACCCGGGACUGAGGAACGCGCUUCGGCGAGGAUGAUGGCGUAAUGGUUGUCAGCGACCCGUCUUGAAACACGGACCAAGGAGUCUAACAUCUAUGCGAGUGUUCGGGUGUCAAACCCUUGCGCGGAAUGAAAGUGAACGGAGGUAGGAAGGCUUUAGCCUGCACUAUCGACCGAUCCGGAUGUCUUCGGAUGGAUUUGAGUAAGAGCAUAGCUGUUGGGACCCGAAAGAUGGUGAACUAUGCGUGAAUAGGGUGAAGCCAGAGGAAACUCUGGUGGAGGCUCGCAGCGGUUCUGA
rnacentral:rRNA from 1 species